AAAAUUUUUCUGAGAUAGGGCGUUUUUCAAUCGAUUUCGGUAAUAGGGCAUUCUUGAAUAGUUUUCUGAGAUACGGCGUUUUCGAACUGGCUGCCGAGAUAGAUCGAUCUUCCACUAAGGUGUUGAUAUGUGUAUUUCGUCAUUAGUAACGAUAUGUAUAUUUAUUCAUUAAUUAGAGAACAAUUUCAACCUUUGAAAGGUUCCCACAAAACUUUACGGUUUUAAAGCAUUCCUGGCACUUUGGUGUGGUAUCAGUAAUUUUGUAAAAAUAAAUCCAUACUUUAGAUUUUGGCGGUGUCAUUACUUAAAGCAAUUAUUUUUCAUAAAAAACGACGCUGCCAAGAUAUGGCACUUGCUCAAAUCGAUUCGAUACAAGUACUUUUCUUUCGAUACCAAGUAUGAAUCGAUACAACGAUUCGAGUAAAAAAAGUAGUUGGUAUCGAAACAAAAGUAUCGAGUACGUACUCGUAUUUACUUGUAUCGGAACACCCCUAAUUGCCAUUGCCGCAUUCGUCCGCGUGUGAAGAGCGUGUUUUUUCUAUGCAAAGUUUAAUUAAAACCAAACGUAGAAACAAAUUACAAAUAAAUCUCAUAAACAAUGUAAUUGCUGUUAUUUUUCAUGAUGCAAUAAUGAAAGGUGUUAUACGUUGGCAACUUCUCGCUCUAAUCCGCCAUUUUGAACUACCUUAGGAGAAACCGUGUUGUUUCUUUACUAAUUUCACUGAACAUUUCCCAAAAUAUUAGAAAAAAAUUCUAAUCGAGCUACAUUGAUUCAAUUUACGUUGUUCGUUUUGUUCUUAUUCGCUGACAUUUGUUUUCUAAUUACGUGAAAUUUGGUUAUUUCCUUAGCGUUUUCCUGGCCGACCUGUGCUGGUAUUGUGAUUAAAAGCUAAUACACCAUUCUCUGGUGAACUGCAGCUGGGGCCGAACUUGAUUAUUUUAUGGACGAUUCUGCUGUGCUGCGUUCCUGCUCCGCCUGUGUAUUGCUCCGCCCGUGUUUUACAGUGUUGCGUUCCUGUUGCGCCUUUGCAUUAGUGUGUGCGUUGUGCUUUAGACACGUUGAAAUUUUUUGUAUGCUUCUGCUGUGCUGCGUUCCUGCUCCACCCGUGUAUUAGAUUGCUGCGUUCCUGUUAAUAUACAUAUCGCCGUUUAAAGCACAAAAUCGCGUAUCGUCCUUAACCGCGUAACUUACAUUUGAUGCUAAAAAUUCGGAUUUGCUCACACAAGCUCUUGGCUCAAUCCUUAUCCAUUCUACCUAUUAUACUAGCCAAAAAUGGGAUUGCUUUUUAAAAAAGAUAACCAUUUUGAAAUAUAAGUGUUUUUACUCUCUAGAAAAUGAUGACAUACAUAU